rnacentral:rRNA from 1 species
GUGGGGAAUCUUCCGCAAUGGACGAAAGUCUGACGGAGCAACGCCGCGUGAGUGAUGAAGGUCUUCGGAUUGUAAAGCUCUGUUAAUCGGGACGAAAGAGCCUAGUGUGAAUAAUGCUAGGAAGUGACGGUACCGGAAUAGAAAGCCACGGCUAACUACGUGCCAGCAGCCGCGGUAAUACGUAGGUGGCCAGCGUUGUCCGGAAUUAUUGGGCGUAAAGCGCGCGAAGGCGGAUCUGCCAGUCUGUCUUAAAAGUUCGGGGCUUAACCCCGGGAGUGGAUGGAAACUACAGAUCUAGAGUAUCGGAGAGGAAAGUGGAAUUCCUAGUGGAGCGGUGAAAUGCGUAGAUAUUAGGAAGAACACCAGUGGCGAAGGCGACUUUCUGGACGAAAACUGACGCUGAGGCGCGAAAGCCAGGGGAGCGAACGGGAUUAGAAACCCCAGUAGUCC